rnacentral:rRNA from 1 species
UACAGAGGGGGCAAGCGUUUGUUCGGAAUUACUGGGCGUAAAGGGCGCGUAGGCGGCCUGCUAAGUCGAACGUGAAAUCCCUGGGCUCAACCCAGGAACUGCGUCCGAUACUGGUUGGCUUGAAUCCGGAAGAGGAGAGUGGAAUUCCUGGUGUAGCGGUGAAAUGCGCAGAUAUCAGGAAGAACACCCUGGCGAAGGCGGCUCUCUGGGACGGUACUGACGGCUGAGACGCGAAAAGCGUGGGGGAGC